CUCUGGGACUCUGUUCUAAGUCAACACAGUCUGGGUCUGAGCACGGUGCAAGUGAACUAAACUGGGCCAAUGAAAACUUGUCGUCCUGGCGAAGGAAAAGAGAGUGCGCUCAGUCUGUCAAAGCUGGACAAACACGGUCCAACAGGGCAGGACUGAGCCCCUGAGGAGGGACUGCGUGGUCCGUCAGCAACCCUUUAAAUUUCACGUUCCUUCUCCUCUGCGUGAGCUGUGUUUUUAUUUUUGUUCUGUCUCUGUUUUGACUCAGUCUUUCCUUUUCUCUCUCUCUCUCUGUCUUUGUCACACGUCUACAGGAAGUCGGUGAGGUUGUGUGGGGGAUUUUACGUAUCAGCAGUGGCUACAUGAAGUGGCAGCUAGGUGGUCUGGAACACCUCCCUGAGAAUCAUGGGAAGGACCAGUCUACUGCAUUCCCAUAGAGUAAAAUAAUACAUCCCAAAUCCAUGGCAAGGUUCAGAUGGUUCUUGCAUAUGUUAUAGAGAUAAAGCGGACAUGACGGAUAAAGGAGCAGGAGUCGCCAGACAGGAGGAGGAGAACAAGACACAGAGAAGCUGUGAUCCUGCCAGAAUCCUCUCAACGUUGUUGAUGCUGAGUAGGACAAAUACAUUAGCACUGCAGCACCGAAGAGUGAGACCCUAAUGACUUGAUUAGGCUCCUCAGGAGGAGGCUGACUUCAUCUCUGGAAGUCAUUUAGUCGGCCGUAAAAGUAUGUUAGUCUAGUAUUUAUAGGAUUUUGAGGUGUCGUGUGUGAGGCCUGAUUGCACUGUGAAAAUCAACAUCUUUUACUGCACAUUAAUCCCGACAAUUACACACAAUAAUAAAGUUGCAUUAGUCAAUUAAAGCACACAAAUGCUUGCACUAAAGCCUCUCUGUCGUUUAGUGGUUUGCCCAAGCAUGGAAAAAUCUCAGAAACAAAGUGUGAAGGGCUGAGGAAUGUGUGAGAAUGAAAUCACAGCACUUCUUGCUCCUAUACAAACACACAACAAUCAGAUGACCAACUGAAUCAUCUGCACCCAUUACCACUGAGCCAAGUCACAUGUUAAUGAUUAACCUCAAUCUACAGGAAUCACAGGCAACAACAGCAGCAACGGUGUAAAACUGAAGCAGAGACAAAUAUCUAAAAUUAUGAGAAUGAAGUCAAAGAUCCAAAAGGUUACCUUUUCAUGUCUACACUAUAAUUACGACUCUGAUUAAUGAAUGACUUUAUACACAUGAAUGUACAACUUUAUUGUUGUAAAUUCAAUGUGUGACUAUUGUUUUUCUCUUAAACGUAUGACUUAAUUCUCAAACAUUUAGAUAUUUUUUCCCCCAAUUUUGUCCUGAUAUUUUGUCGUAGAUCCCUAACUUGACCUCAAGUGAGGGCUAUAUUUUUUCUGUUUGACUCUUUGAAGUUGCAAAGCCGUUAUCAAUCAGUUAAUUUUGAUACUGUGCACUUUCUCUGUGUCAAAGUCCCAUCCAGGCACUGGCCCAGUUUGUUGUUAUGGCUGCAGCACGUUUGUCUAAAU